ACCAAACCAAUGCACAACUCCUACGUACUGAUGGUGGUCUUACGUUUCCCUAAGUUUCUGCCGACUAAACUGUGCACACGUUCUCAGGACCUCCUGAAGCUGCGUCACAGGCGCUGAUCAAAGAACACAACCAAGAGUUUGGCCUUUUCUUCAGCACUGGGAAUUGUGAUCCAAAGCUUUUCCUGAUGAGGCACAAAGUUGGAGAAACAAAACGCAAACUAAGCAACAAUGAAACAGAACAGAGUGAAUCUGCUGUAGCUCAAGAGAGGACGUAGCUGCCCCCACUCCGCAUCCCCGGGCUCGGGUUUGCCUUGCUGACCUCUGCUGCCACCU
rnacentral:lncRNA from 10 species